rnacentral:rRNA from 1 species
AGUGAACGCUGGCGGUAGGCCUAACACAUGCAAGUCGAACGGCAGCACAGUAAGAGCUUGCUCUUACGGGUGGCGAGUGGCGGACGGGUGAGGAAUACAUCGGAAUCUACUUUUUCGUGGGGGAUAACGUAGGGAAACUUACGCUAAUACCGCAUACGACCUACGGGUUAAAGCAGGAGAUCUUCGGACCUUGCGCGAUUGAAUGAGCCGAUGUCGGAUUAGCUAGUUGGCGGGGUAAAGGCCCACCAAGGCGACGAUCCGUAGCUGGUCUGAGAGGAUGAUCAGCCACACUGGAACUGAGACACGGUCCAGACUCCUACGGGAGGCAGCAGUGGGGAAUAUUGGACAAUGGGCGCAAGCCUGAUCCAGCCAUACCGCGUGGGUGAAGAAGGCCUUCGGGUUGUAAAGCCCUUUUGUUGGGAAAGAAAAGCAGCAGGUUAAUACCCCGCUGUUCUGACGGUACCCAAAGAAUAAGCACCGGCUAACUUCGUG